UACAUGGGGUGCAAACGUUGCUCGGAAUUAUUGGGCGUAAAGCGCGCGUAGGCGGCUACUUAAGUCGGAUGUGAAAGCCCUCGGCUUAACUGAGGAAGUGCACCCGAAACUGAGUAGCUAGAGUACGAAAGAGGGUCGCGGAAUUCCCGGUGUAGAGGUGAAAUUCGUAGAUAUCAGGAGGAACACCGGUGGCGAAGGCGGCCACCUGGACGAUUACUGACGCUGAGACGCGAAAGCGUGGGGAGCAAACAGG
rnacentral:rRNA from 1 species